ensembl:lncRNA
GGUGUGUCCAAACUUUUGGCCUCUACUGUAGGGGUGUGUGGUAGAUCUGUAUACCAUUGUAUACAGAAACCGGCAGAAUCUUGUUGAGCAUGGAUUCCUUAUCUCACGUUAAUGAGCACAGAGCAGGGAACAGGAUGUUCAGUUUGCGUCCACUGGAGACUGGAAUGCAGCUCGCUUCUCUCAGCCACACGUUCUCCUCCCUGUGCUUUUCUGGACAGAAGCAUAUCAGAAUAUGAAGAGGAUCGAUGCCAUGCCUACGGUUCAAAAGCUCCAGGUCGUGUCGAAGUGUCCUAAUUGUUGGUAGACGAUUAAAAUGACUCCCGUCCAGCCAUGGUUGGUGUUGUAAAUGGCUGGUGAGGAAUGGAUCGCGUCGGUAAAGGUGUAAAGAAAGUAAAAUGUGUUUAUCGGCUCAGGAGGAGAGAAGUUCGUUCACUUCUAUGAUCUGCGUCAUGUGACCUCUUACUAAAACCCUGAUUGUGAGCAUCCCGUCGCUCAGAACGUCGAUGAAGGUGUGGAACCCUGGUUUUGGUGAUCAGAUUCGUUCCAGGAGAAGCCAGGAGCCGCAGUUCCGCCUUCCAGGCCGUCGCCACCGGCAUGGACUUCGACUCCAGGCUUUACCCGCAGGUCGGCGGCUACGGCGCCUACAGCCGCCUGGUGACCGUGUGCAGCUGCGUCCCCACCUUCGCGGUGGCGCUGAACCUGCUCUGCGGCGUCUUCUACACGCUCGUCCCGGAGUCGUACCACUGCGCGCCGGACCCGGACCUGCUGCCGCCGGCGCUGCUGCUGGGGAACCUGUCCCGCCAGGACUACCUCAACCUGUCCAUCCCCUGGACCGCGGGCUCCGGCCUCAGCCGCUGCGAGCUGUACCGCUACCCGCGCGGCAACGCCACCCGCCGGUGGCCGGUGCCCUGCACCCGCGGCUGGGAGUUCGGCAAGCCGGCCGGGCUGCGGAGCAACUUCGUCACGGAGCCAGCCCGGCAUGGAUUCACAGGAAUCUUCCAGAGCCGAUGUCCCACCUCCAGAAAUUCCAGCAUCCAUCUGGGAAUUUAUCACAAACGGCUCUAAAUAUGCAAGCGGAUGUGCACAAUUUGAGACUUCGAGAACCUUCUGGAAUCUGGAGAGAUUAG